UCAAUUUAAAAGCCAAAGCAAGAGAAUAAAAAUAUCUUUUUUUGAGAUCUUCGAAACUUUUUUGUAGAUUUUUUUUGUCUUUCAUUUCUUUUUCUUUCUUUUUUGUGAUUAAUUUGUUUCUCUUUUCGUGCAUUUUUCCUACCACCGAGGCAAGUUUUUCGAUUUGUUGGACAAAAACCUCGAAACUAUCUUCUUCUUUCUCUCUCUCUUUCCCAAAAAGAUUCACUCUUAAAGAAGAAGAAGAAGA
rnacentral:ribozyme from 13 species